rnacentral:sRNA from 1 species
UAAGCCUCGCGAUGUGACCAGCCCAUU